rnacentral:lncRNA from 1 species
GGAUUAAACCAAAGACCCUGUGAUAAAGAUUGUCCUUGUCAGAGGAGGUGGGAUCAUACCGCUUCAGCGUCUGUACAGUGGUGUGGUAUGACAUCUGGAGCCAGAUCCAACAUGUGAUCAAGCUGAUGUAGUCUCCCAGUAUGCAUGUGGAUGUUGCAGUCAGUCUUCUCAGAAAGACAGAGAGAGGUCUCAGCAACUACAGGGCAACACAAACGUCAGCCGAGGAUAUUUGCGAGGGUAUGAAUGUAGAGGCCGUUCUACAACAAAAAAGGCUGAGGUCCACAAUGCGGCACUUCAUACGAAUCAUUUGAUCAGAUCAAAUCAAACUUUAUUUGUCACAUGCGCCGAAUACAAAAAGUGUAGACUUUACUGUGAAAUGCUUACUUACAAGCCCUUAACCAACAGUGCAGUUCAAGAAGAGUUAAGAAAAUAUUUACCAAGUAGACUUAAAUAAAAAGUAAUAAUAAAAAGUAACACAAUAAGAAUAACAAUAACGAGGCUAUAUACAGGGGGUACCAGUACAGAGUCAGUGUGGAGGCUAUAUACAGGGGGUACCGGUACAGAGUCAAUGUGGAGGCUAUAUACAGGGGGUACUGGUACAGAGUCAAUGUGGAGGCUAUAUACAGGGGGUACUGGUACAGAGUCAAUGUGGAGGCUAUAUACAGGGUGUCAGGUACAGAGUCAGUGUGGAGGCUAUAUACAGGGGGUACUGGUACAGAGCCAGUGUGGAGGCUAUAUACAGAGGGUACCGGUACAGAGUCAGUGUGGAGGCUAUAUACAGGGGGUACCGGUACAGAGUCAGUGUGGAGGCUAUAUACAGGGGGUACCGGUACAGAGUCAGUGUGGAGGCUAUAUACAGAGGGCACCGGUACAGAGUCAGUGUGGAGGCUAUAUACAGGGGGUACCGGUACAGAGUCAGUGUGGAGGCUAUAUACAGCGUGUUACGGUACAGAGUCAGUGUGGAGGCUAUAUACAGAGGGCACCGGUACAGAGUCAGUGUGGAGGCUAUAUACAGGGUGUUACGGUACAGAGUCAAUGUGGAGGCUAUAUACAGGGGGUACUGGUACAGAGUCAGUGUGGAGGCUAUAUACAGGAGGUACCGGUACAGAGUCAGUGUGGAGGCUAUAUACAGGGUGUUACGGUACAGAGUCAAUGUGGAGGCUAUAUACAGGCGGUACCGGGACAGUCAGUGUGGAGGCUAUAUACAGGGGGUACCAGUACAGAGUCAGUGUGGAGGCUAUAUACAGGGGGUACCGGUACAGAGUCAAUGUGGAGGCUAUAUACAGGGGGUACUGGUACAGAGUCAAUGUGGAGGCUAUAUACAGGGGGUACUGGUAC